CGCGCGCGCCCGCCCCACCGUGCGCCGGCUCGCGCGCCGCCACCCAGCGCGGCCCGCCCUCGCCACCCUGCGGCCCUGUCGCCGCCCCACCGCACGCGCUCCGCCGCCCCACCGUUAAGGCAGGUGAUGCGGUCGACAAGGGGGCGGCGUUCGGGAACUCACAGAGUCAUGUCGUGCUGGGGAGGCACGGGAUUCGGAUCCGGCCGUGGCCGCACCUGGACCCCGUCGAGGUGAUGCGGGCACACCAGAUCAUGGAGCACGUGCAGGAGGAACAGCACCGCUGGUACGGCGUCAAGGAGCCGAGGCAGGUGCUCACCGUCACCCCGACCAACUCACGCGCGUUCCAGGCGCUCCACCUCACCGGCCUCCUCCACUCACUCCGUCGGAAUCCUUGCGCAUACUGGCACGACAGACCAACUACGGCUCAACGAGGAGGACAAGCAGAAUAUGCCUCUUCCAGUCCAUGGCCCUGCUUGCAACUCCUCAGGGCAUCUGAUUGGAUGGCACACGUUCAACUCAUUGCCCUUCUCUGGGAAGACGGCCACAGUUGUUGGUGAAGCUGCCCCUGUUCUGCCCAGGGAUUUGGAGUGGGCUGGUUUUGUGUUGAACUCGAGGAUGUUGUGGAAGGAGGCUGACGGCAAGCCUGACUGGGUGAAGGAUCUUGAUGCUGUGGGCGAGAAUGGCGAGGAGAUUGAGAACCCACUUACUCUGUUGAAUGAUCCGUCCUCUGUUGAGCCACUGGGCAACUGUGGGAAGAAUGUCCUACUGUGGUGGCUUCGUGUUGAAGCACAUGCUGAUAGCAAGUUUCCUGAAGGGUGAGUUUUUUUACAUCCCAAGUUUUUGUUACCUAGCUAUGUUAUUGGGGAAGUUUAUUUUUGUUAGAUUCAAGAUUCAGACAUCUAGACUCAUCCCCCACCUUGUUAUAAGUUAAGUUAGGCCUUAUCUGACUUGGCUAGGUUCACGGCUCAAAAUCUCCAACGAAUGCAUGUGGCAACUGGAUAUAAACCAACUGUCUACUAGCUACCCAGCAACUGAAACUGUUGGCCCUAUUUAGCUGAGCUCCAUCUGGCAAAUUUUCAUGAGUACCAUUCUCACUGUUAUAAGAUUUUCAUGAGGCAGGAAGCAAAGCCUUGAGCUAGCUUGUUUGCAUAUGGAAAGGUAGCGAAUCAUCAUGUUUUCUGUUUCUGUUGAGUUUUUUUAGGUCUAUGUUCACUAUUACAAUUUAAUUCUACUUGCAAAAACUACAAAAAAUGGUUCGCUAAUUUUGCUUUAAUGUGCUUUAGUCCGUAUAUGUCCUGCAGUUCUUAUUUGUUUUAGAUGAUGUGUUUGCUUGGUAGUCUCCUGUGUUGCAGUUAUGUCGAAAUUGUGUAACUUGCUGGUACUGUUUUCGGAUUUCUAUUGGCAGAAAGUGUCCUUAGAGAAUGGAUUAAUUUUGGUUGACACAAAGUAUGAGUUUGGAAAAACAUCUGAUGGGACAAUUGUGUUGAUUGAUGAGGUUAUACUUCUGACGUUAUUCUGCAAAAGCUUUUUAAUCUUGUGCUCAUUCUACCUAGUAACUAGCGGAAGAAUAUAAAUAUGCAUUCUGACAUCAUAAGUUCAUAACAGUGAGAAUGCAUUAUGUAGAAUCAUAUAGUACUAACUAGUUAUUAUAUGCUUAGAUGUAGGCAGAGUUGUUAUAUCAUUAACUGAUACUUCAUGUAGUUGAAAACUUUUUGUUCUGAGUAUUAUCUAUUUUUUUUAUAAUUAUGUUGAGUACAAUUGAAUGGUAACUUUUGAUAUAUUGAAAUGCUGAAUAGUUAGGUUUAUAAAAUUAAUGUUAUCUGCUAGAAUAUGCCUUUUCUGUGGUGUGGACAGUGGGCUUGGCCAUUCCUGUGCGUCUAAGGCCCAGCCUAAGGUGCUGCACCACCUGUUCUCAUCCCUAUGUACGCCUGCCUAUAUAUGUGUACUAUUCCCGCAAUCAAUAAUACACACAAUCAUAUGGCAGUAUAUCUCCUAUCAUUAUCCUCUUUUUAUGAAGCAGGUUCAUACUCCUGACUCCAACAGAUAUUGGAUUGCUAAUUCAUACGAAUAUAGAUUCAUAUCUGGCCUUGAACCUGAAAAUGUUGAUAAGGAGUUUUUAAGGCUUUGGUUCAAGAACAACUGCAAUCCAUAUGAAGACACAGUAUAUUUUCUUCAUACAGUUGUUAGAAUCACUUGUGAAUUUUGUUCCAUAAUGAUCCAACUCAUCUUUUUUAGUGAAAACUUACGUGUACCCCAAAAUAUUCAGGUUCUGCCAGAAGCUCUAGAAGAGUUGGUAUGUUAGUUGGCCUAGCGAUAUGUAUCUCUGUAAAUUUCUGCCGUUGUUUCUCACUUCAAAGUUGAUACUCAUGAGGCCUUAUCGUCUGAAAGAAGAAAUGGUCAUCCAAAGAUCAUCCACCGUGACAUUAAGGCAUCUAACAUUCUUCUUGACUUCAAAUUUGAAGCUAAUGUCGCUGACUUUGGACUUGCAAAGUUCACUACUGAUAAUAACACCCAUGUUUCGACAAGAGUAAUGGGCACCUUUGGCUCUAGGUAUUUGGCACCUGAGUAUGCAGCAUCUGGCAAGCUCACAGAAAAUCCGAUGUAUUUUCUUUCGGAGUCAUGCUUCUUGAGCUUAUUACUGGGCGGCGACCAAUUGUCACAACCCAAUUGGCACUGCUUGCUAUAAGCACAUAUGUACUUCCAUUUGCAUGUUGUAUAAUACUAAUACCAAUUGCAAAAUUAUAGUUAUUUUUUCUACCCUUGUUAGUUAAUAAGCAUAUUUCUGGUCAAUAGGUUGUAUUCUUAUUCUUGUAACCGUGUUAAUUAAUGUUAUAUACUUGUAGUCUCGUAUUACCUUGUGAAUAUAUCUGUCCCUGCCUGCCA